GCAGCGAAAGCUGUGCUAAUACCGCAUACGAUCUACGGAUGAAAGCGGGGGAUCGCAAGACCUCGCGCGAUUGGAGCGGCCGAUAUCAGAUUAGGUAGUUGGUGGGGUAAAGGCUCACCAAGCCAACGAUCUGUAGCUGGGUUUNAGAGGAUGAUCAGUCACACUGGAACUGAGACACGGUCCAGACUCCUACGGGAGGCAGCAUGGGGAAUAUUGGUCAAUGGGCGCAAGCCUGAACCAGCCAUGCCGCGUGCAGGAAGAAUGCCCUCUGGGUUGUAAACUGCUUUUGACAGGGAAGAAAUCACUUAUGCGUAAGUGUCUGACGGUACCUGUAGAAUAAGCACCGGCUAACUCCGUG
rnacentral:rRNA from 1 species